rnacentral:rRNA from 1 species
ACGAACGCUGGCGGCGUGCCUAAUACAUGCAAGUAGAACGCACAGUUUAUACCGUAGCUUGCUACACCAUAGCCUGUGAGUUGCGAACGGCUGAGUAACGCGUAGGUAACCUGCCUGGUAGCGGGGGAUAACUAUUGGAAACGAUAGCUAAUACCGCAUAAUAUUAAUUAUUGCAUGAUAAUUAAUUGAAAGGUGCAAUUGCACCACUACCAGAUGGACCUGCGUUGUAUUAGCUAGUAGGUGAGGUAACGGCUCACCUAGGCGACGAUACAUAGCCGACCUGAGAGGGUGAUCGGCCACACUGGGACUGAGACACGGCCCAGACUCCUACGGGAGGCAGCAGUAGGGAAUCUUCGGCAAUGGACGAAAGUCUGACCGAGCAACGCCGCGUGAGGGAAGAAGGUUUUCGGAUCGUAAAGCUCUGUUGUAAGAGAAGAACGGGUGUGAGAGUGGAAAGUUCACACUGUGACGGUAUCUUACCAGAAAGGGACGGCUAACUACGUG